GCAUAUCAAUAAGCGGAGGAAAAGAAACCAACAGGGAUUGCCUCAGUAGCGGCGAGUGAAGCGGCAAAAGCUCAAAUUUGAAAUCUGGCGUCUUUGGCGUCCGAGUUGUAAUUUGAAGAAGGUAUCUUUGGGCCCGGCUCUUGUCUAUGUUCCUUGGAACAGGACGUCACAGAGGGUGAGAAUCCCGUGCGAUGAGAUGACCCGGGUCUGUGUAAAGUUCCUUCGACGAGUCGAGUUGUUUGGGAAUGCAGCUCUAAGUGGGUGGUAAAUUCCAUCUAAAGCUAAAUAUUGGCGAGAGACCGAUAGCGAACAAGUACAGUGAUGGAAAGAUGAAAAGAACUUUGAAAAGAGAGUGAAAAAGUACGUGAAAUUGUUGAAAGGGAAGGGCUUGAGAUCAGACUUGGUAUUUUGCAUGCUGCUCUCUCGGGGGCGGCCGCUGCGGUUUACCGGGCCAGCAUCGGUUUGGAGCGGCAGGAUAAUGGCGGAGGAAUGUGGCACGGCUUCUGCUGUGUGUUAUAGCCUCUGACGAUACUGCCAGCCUAGACCGAGGACUGCG
rnacentral:rRNA from 1 species